AUUGAACGCUGGCGGCAGGCCUAACACAUGCAAGUCGAACGAGUGGCGGACGGGUGAGUAAUGGCUGGGAAACUGCCUGAUGGAGGGGGAUAACUACUGGAAACGGUGGCUAAUACCGCAUACCAUCGGAUGUGCCCAUAUGGGAUUAGCGAGUAGGUGGGGUAAAGGCUCACGUAGGCGACAAUCCUUAGCUGGACUGAGAGGAUGACCAGCCACACGGGAAGUGAGACACGGCCCAUACUCCUACGGGAGGCAGCAGUGGGGAAUAUUGCGCAAUGGGCGCAAGCCUGAUGCAGCCAUGCCGCGUGUAUGAAGAAGGCCUUCGGUUUGUAAAGUACUGUCAGCGGGGAGGCGUUACCCGCAGAAGAAGCACCGGCUAACUCCGUGCCAGCAGCCGCGGUAAUAC
rnacentral:rRNA from 1 species